CAGCCAUGACCUCACACUGGACAAGAACCUCAACCCAGGCCAGGAGGCAAGGGAUGGUUUCAGGCACGCCAGAGGGGGCAGGAAGGCUGACCAAAGCACAGCCCUGGGGAGCAGCUGUCCCAUGGAAACCUCUGGAGCAGAUAAACCAGACCAGACAUUCCAGACACGCAAGGGAGCGUGCCCUCCCCGGGAAGGCGCAGGACGUUUCCCUGCUGGGGGCUGUGGGUCAAAGCCAUUCGCUCCUGCAGCUGCUGAGGAUUAAUGCCACGAACAUCACGAGAGUGAACCGGUAGCAUUUUUGAGAAUUCCUCCCAAGUGGAAACUAAAUGU